rnacentral:tRNA from 1 species
UAGUUUUUGGUGUUUAAAUUUCGCACAUUAAAUUUUGAAUUUAAAAGUAAUAAAUUAAGUUUUAUUAAAACUAA